rnacentral:lncRNA from 1 species
AACUUUAGAUGUUAAGCCACUGACCGGAAUAUUUGAAAUUGGAAGAAAGAAGAAAUUAAAAACAAACGUGACUCAGACCCACAAUUUCAUACCAAAGUGGAGGGGGAGGAAACCUGACCUAAGAAUUCUGAUUAUAUGCUACUACUACUCUUCAUCUAGAGGACCUUCCAUGCUGUGCCCCUCCUGCAUGGCUUUGUCUUUGAAAUCUAACUGGGAUCCUGAGGGAAUGAAGACAUGACAGACAUUGAAGUAACAACAUUCACAGAUACAGAAGAACUGGGAUCAGAUGGACUGUGUUGAUCUGAUGAGGAGCACCUACUAGCCACAACUCAGAAAGGAUAGCACAAGGCGACAGGGUCAAAGAGAUGAAUCUGGUUCCAUCCGUUUGCAUGUGGAUGUCUUGAUUUCCCUUAUAUGCUGUUGGCCAUAAUAUAAAUAGAUAAAACUACCGUGGAAACCAGUGUGAAGAUGUGGGAAGCAGAUGACAUACUGAAUGGGUAUGUAUUAUUGCACGAGCACGGAUAUAUCAAAGUCCUUUAUGCUUUAGACCCAUGGAAAUUCGGGAAUUGUCCUUUGUACCAUUGUCAAACAUAAUCUUUAUGUGCUCUUAACUUUAAUUUUCAAGUGUUCCAAGGACAUAUUAUAUUCAUCAAUAAAUUGGUC